UUCAUGCCAUAUAUUCCCUCAU
rnacentral:siRNA from 1 species